UCAUCUACAUAAAAGCCCCUUUCC
rnacentral:piRNA from 1 species